GAUUUCUGAUUUUUCUUGUCUCCUCUUAGCUGGCUUCUCACGCUCGGCAACCCUCCCAUCCGCUCAUUAUUCCUGCUUUUGUUUUAAUCUCUCUACCGUGCGAAGCAAUCCCCAUCCAAUCUCUCUCCAUCUCCGUUACUUCUCUUCCUCAACCGAAGCCCACACACUCCACUCACGCCAGCCACGAGAUCUUCAAUUUAAGGUGCUCCUCGCCACUUGCCCAUCAACCAGCAUCUCUCGGUCAACACCUGCAAGAACGAAGCCGUUGGUUGACCGCUUGAAGCCCACGACUCCACCGAGUUCCUUCACGUUGCCACCUGCCCGCUCCUCCUUCUGCUUCGGUCAACAAACGAAACCGCCGAAGCCCAAGUCCAACGUCUUCAGCCCGAGCAUAUCGUGGAGUCCACGAAGACAGCGUCCAUGAGCAGCUCCCAUCUUUAGUCUUCCCCUGUGGCGUGCCCUCAGCUCCACGCCAGCACGCCAGUCAACUCCAACGCCCACGGAAGACCACCGAUUCAACCAAGUCUUCAUCUGCGAAAUCCUCCGAGCAUCCUCACGCCGCCAGCAACAUCCACCGAGCAACACCACCGAAGAGAAGCCGCACGUAUCCACCGAAUUCUGCCGUUUGUCCGUGCUUCCCUCCACGCGUCCGAGCCCCAACUCAUUCGGUCCAUCAUCUCGCCGUGAAGCCUCGAGAUCCACCGAGUUGCCAACCGUUGCCAGCGUCUUCGGUCUCCUCAGUCAGCGAAUCCAGCUGCCUGAAGCCCAACAAAUCCUGCAGUUUCAGUCUUCUUUUGUUCGUGGGCCAACCACAGCGAGCCCAUUCCAUUUUUCAGUGGCCCAACCUCAGCUCUUUGGAAGCCUGUGAUCAAGCAGCCCACAAGCCCAGUUCAGUUCAAUGACAACCCAGACCAGCAAGUUUUAGUUUCAGCUUUGGGCCCAGCCUAUUUUCAGCCCAGUUGAAGUCUUCAAGCCCAGUUUUUGAAGCCCAAUCGCAGCUAGACCCAAGUCCAAGAGCAAGCCCAUUCCAGUGCAAGGACAAAUCUCAUUUGGGCUGAGAUUUGUUGGGCUAAGUUUAAGCCCGGCCCAAGUUCGUCGACGCCGCCGAAAAUUUCGAUUUCGGCCGUCGUCGAGUUGUUGUCGCGGUGAACCGGUUUUCGCGAUACACCGGUGAGUUUAUACUCUAAACUCUGCUUAGUAGGUUAAUGACGUUUAAGGGGUGUUUAGAUUUAUUUUAUUAGGAAUUAGGUGGUUAGUUAGAUUAAAUUAGAAAUUGAAUUAUUUAAUUGAGCAUGUUAGGUGGUUAGCAUGGUUUAGCUAAGGCCUAAAUAAAUUGUACUGUUUAUCUAGAAGGGUUCGGGAAUUUCUCCGAGUCCGUAUUGGUUAUUAAUUUAAUGAUUUUGGCCUAGGUUAUUAUUUGUAGAAUUUAAAUUGAUUUAUUUAAUUGAUUUAAGUAAUUAUUUAAUUAUUAAUUAUUUUUCCGGAAAUUAGGCCGAGAUAGUCGGUGACCGGAAUUUCGUGCUGAUUGCAACGGUGUGGUUAAUUUCUGCAAUUGAGUGCUAAGUUAUGCAAAUUGAGUGCUGAUUGGAUUUUUGGUAUUUAAUUCCAAAAUUGUGAAUUUCCAAUAUUUAUUCAGAAAAUCUCAGGUGUCGGGUUUUGAUACCGAAAAUGGUUUUUAGUACUAUAUGAAAUAGUGGGAUUUCAAAAAGGAGGAAUAUCAAUUUUUCUGGAUCAAGUUGACCGUGUACCCACACACGAGUAAUUUCAUGUGAAUUUCUAAUACGAAGAAAAAGGCCAGGCUCACUAUUUUAAUUGAAGCAUUUGAGUGCAAUGCACGGUGUCCUGGGCCAUAUUUGAGUGAUCGUGUGAUGGUUAUGAGAAAUCGUCCCGGGCUGUUGAGCUGGACGUUAUCCCUAUGUGGGAUACCCCCUGGACAACGGGAAACCGGUCGCAGUUGAUUCUGGACCCUAUGCUCCUUCGGAAAAGCCGUCUAAUAAAGAGACGUGCCGUGCUCAAUGGGGUGAGACGAAGCCUGGCAAUGCCAGAAGACCGCCGAACUGAGAGUAGGCCGUACUAUAUGCCGAGAUCAAAACUAGGAACGCAUGAUUAAUUAAGUGUGGCGUUUCAAUUAUUGGAGCUUAUUUGUUGCUCAUGCUCUCAGGUUGUCUUUGAGAUAAAUUGUACUGACCUGCAGGGUGGGUCUGAGACGAGGUAAGUCUCUUUGAUUGUGUGAUUGCGUGCUUAGGACUCUUCUUGGCGUAUUUCCCUCCUAAUUGGGGUUUAGAGCUUAGACUCGCUGAGAUGAUAUCUCACCCCGUUGUGGGACAACAUUUUCAGGGUCGUUGAGUGGAGGACCUGGAGCUGAGAGGAGGUGAUCGGAAGCAUAGAUCAAUUAGGACCGCUUCUUUUUGGAGGGCCAGUCUUUUGUAGUCUUUGGCCAUAGACCUGUGUUCAUGACUCAGUGUAUAUAUAAAAGCAUGUUUGUGUAUGAAUCUAUUAUACUGCUUUUCUAUCCCGAGAUGAUUACUGUCAGGGGAUUUCUUUUCGCUUCCGCAUGUGCAAUAAAAUAAAAAGGGUCGGCGACUCAUCUUGGGAAGUCGCAAAUUAUUAUCGACCAGAUAGGGAUGAGCACGUGCUCGAAGUCCGGGGCGUGACACAUUUUUCUUUUUUGAGUGACGGUUAUCCACAUGUUAUAUAUAAUGCAAUCCCAUAUUUUUUAGGGAUGGUUUUUUAAAUUAAAAUUUAUCCUUAGGCAUUUCCCC
rnacentral:lncRNA from 1 species